GAGCGCCAACAUCUAAUAGACGAGGUACUAGAAAACGGACAGCCGUCAGAAAAUCGCCUGCAUUUUGACGAGGACCCCUAUAUUUCAAGAUUCUGUGACGUGUAUUCAGGCGUUGAAGUCAGGUCUGCGUCACUCUUGCGCACUUUGCAGAUGAUUCGUAGUCACCUACUGUAACCCUUUAAAGAGACAGCGCGCUCAGCCACACGCACACGCACACGCACACACACACACACACACACACACGCGACUGCAGCACAAUUCUUUUAUUUUUCGCGGGGGUGUUCAAGAAGGGAGUGGGCGUCCGUUUUCAUUCAUUGAUGACACAGUUAUUCAUUCUCUGCAAAUUAAUGAAUGUACAAUUGAAUUAGCAUAGCCAACGACACUAAUGACCAAUUUUUUUAAGUUGUAGCCUACACAAAAUAUAUUUUAAUUCUUAAAGGAACAGUGCAACCAAAAAUUAACAUCCCGUCAUUAUUUACUCACCCUGAAUUUUAUUUAUUUAUUUGUAACAUGUGGAACUCAAAAGCAGAUGCCUGAAGCAGAAUAACACCUUAACUGUGUCUAUGAGGGUGUCAGUUCAUUAUAUUCUGCCAAUAAUUGUUCUUUUUAUUUUAGUUCUUUAUAUUUCUUAACUAACCACCUUCAAUCUUGAGUAGGCUUUACACAUUCUACACAUUCAGUUCAAUGUGUUACUUGCCAUUUCUUUGUAAUUAUUUGUGAAAUUUAGUGAAAAUUAUUUAUACAUCACUUUUUAAUGUGUUAUUUCUUGAUAGCUUAAUAUAUUCAACAAAAAUGCUGUGAAUUAUAUAGGAUUACUAUAUUCAUUUAUGAAUUUAUUUUUAUUAAAAUAAAGCAGAGUGAAGCUGUAUUUUCAGCACCACGGACAGCGGCUAUUGGUCUCAAGUCUAAGUACUUCUUUCAGAACCAAAUGCAUUUUAUCAGUCUAACUCUGGGCUGCCAGUAAGAGUCACUAAGUAUCAGGUAAUAUAUAUAGAAUAAAACAUAACUGAAAAAAAAAAAAACUUUCAGGAAACGGAACGACUUUCAAAGGGGUUCUAGCUUGCAUCUACGUCACUGACCCGGCAGCGAGGCUCUUGGGAAUCCGUGUUCCUGAGAACAUUAUGCUUGGGCAAACCAAUGCCCUUUUUAAUGAAAUAACCCACGUUAUGCAUCAGAUUCAUGGCCAUGUUCCAUACUUAUAUUAAAUCAACAUCUUAUUCAUCUAGAUACGUUUGUUUUCUCUGUAACACUUCUCUUUAAUUGCAGCAGCAGUUCUGUCUCUCCCUGUGAGCUGAAUUCUUCUCGGUGUUGCCCAGCAUGAGUCUUUACCGAUUUGCCAGCACUUCAUGACCUUGGCUCUAGACUGCUUACUGCUUAUGGAGUCCAACAGUACAGUAACAGUCUACAGUCAUGGCUACUGAAGUCUGGCUCCAGCAUCACUAAUACAGAAGCCUAUCAUCUGUAUAACUUAGGUUGUGAUUGAAAAGGGAAGGCUGUUAAAAUGCGCAUGCACGCAUUCAUCAGAAAUACUCGGCUGUGAUGGCAAACAGUUGUGUAUAUCUGAGCCUGUAUUGGGGGAGUCCUGUGCUAUGGAGGCAUGGCGUUUCAUCGAAACAAGCCAAUAGGAUUGCACUAUUUCUAGUUACCAUGCCAACACCCCCUCAUUCCUACCUCUGCUGUCUCCAUGGUGACCGUGGCUUUAGAUUGUUACUGUAGCGUUGGCACGUGGUAACAGUCUACAGCCAUGGUCGCCAAGGGGCAGGUGUUAUUUCGUCAAUCACCAGAAAUGAUUGCGUGAAACCAGAAUGAAUGCAUGUCAAACUGUAACACGGCGAGGAUUUUCUGAGAAGCACUUACAGAAUGAUUCGAUUUUCGAAAGUAGGUCAAAGUCUGAAUUUAUUUAUUUAUUUAUCUUUCCCUUCUUCUGAAACUCUAUUAAAAGACUCUUUCCGCAGAUGUGAAAGUAAGCAUGUUUUUCUCAGACUGAAGGAUCAAAGCUACGCUGCGAUUCUCAUUUUGUGACCGAAAACUUUAUUCUUAACGCAACAUAUACUAAACACUUCAAUACAGAUUGUAAUUAAAUCAUGUACUGUACCAGAAUGUACAAUUAUUUCUCUCGGAUGUUUUCCUGAUGAUUCAGUUUGCUCCCUGAUGGCCAAGUGAUUCAUUCUAACGUGGCGUGCCAGUGACUGCUCCUUUUUUUUCCAGACAAUUUCCUGUGGAGCAGGAAGAGGCAGUUGCAAUUAGGAUAGAGUGACAGAAUGUGUUUCAUGCGUAACUGAUGAAAGCUGUACAUAUUCUUUUUACCGGUUGCGGUGACAUCUGGGACAGCAGGGCAGGUGUUUCAGUCAAUUCAGUGAGUAAUUAAUACAUAUUAGCAGGGAUGUGUUGUUUAAAUGUAUUUUGAUCUGCAGCAAUUUUCAGUGGCGUGCGAUAGAAUAUGGCUCAACGUAAAAAAGAAAAGAAAAGAAAUCAAGUUUAGCAGUCACACAUCGCCCUCUGGAGGAGAGAGUUUGUGGUUGCGGAAAACAAUCUGUAGGCAAGUGUUAUGUUGUACCAUUGCUGUUCCAGUAAAUAAAAUCUCAACAUCCAAA